rnacentral:rRNA from 1 species
GACGAACGCUGGCGGCGUGCUUAACACAUGCAAGUCGAACGGAAAGGCCCUGCUUUUGUGGGGUGCUCGAGUGGCGAACGGGUGAGUAACACGUGAGUAACCUGCCCUUGACUUUGGGAUAACUUCAGGAAACUGGGGCUAAUACCGGAUAGGAGCUCCUGCUGCAUGGUGGGGGUUGGAAAGUUUCGGCGGUUGGGGAUGGACUCGCGGCUUAUCAGCUUGUUGGUGGGGUAGUGGCUUACCAAGGCUUUGACGGGUAGCCGGCCUGAGAGGGUGACCGGCCACAUUGGGACUGAGAUACGGCCCAGACUCCUACGGGAGGCAACAGUGGGGAAUAUUGCACAAUGGGCGGAAGCCUGAUGCAGCAACGCCGCGUGCGGGAGGACGGCCUUCGGGUUGUAAACCGCUUUCGCCUGUGACGAAGCGUGAGUAACGGUAAUGGGUAAAGAAGCACCGGCUAACUACGU